rnacentral:sRNA from 1 species
GACGACGGAGAUCAUCUUGUUCUGCGGACCGCCGCUGGUCAUGAUGUAGAACUGGUCGAAGGCGAGGAUCGAGCCGGUGACCGAAAGGAUGAGCGCCAGCGCCAUGGUCCGGCGCAUCAGGGGCAGCGUCAGGUGGCGGA